rnacentral:rRNA from 1 species
GACGAACGCUGGCGGCGUGCCUAAUACAUGCAAGUAGAACGCUGAAGGAGGAGCUUGCUUCUCUGGAUGAGUUGCGAACGGGUGAGUAACGCGUAGGUAACCUGCCUGGUAGCGGGGGAUAACUAUUGGAAACGAUAGCUAAUACCGCAUAAGAGUGGAUGUUGCAUGACAUUUGCUUAAAAGGUGCACUUGCAUCACUACCAGAUGGACCUGCGUUGUAUUAGCUAGUUGGUGGGGUAAGGGCUCACCAAGGCGACGAUACAUAGCCGACCUGAGAGGGUGAUCGGCCACACUGGGACUGAGACACGGCCCAGACUUCUACGGGAGGCAGCGGUAGGGAAUCUUCGGCAAUGGAUGGAAAUCUGACCGAGCUUCGCCGCGUGAGUGAAGAAGGUUUUCGGAUCGUUUUUUUCUGUUGGAAGAGACCACCGAGUGUGAGAGUGGAAAGUUCCGCUGUGUCGGAAUCUUACCAGAUAGGGACGGCUAUCUACAUGCCAGGGGUUUCCCCAUUACGU